GGAAUUUUGCGCAAUGGGCGCAAGCCUGACGCAGCAACGCCGCGUGGAGGAAGAAGGCCCUCGGGUCGUAAACUCCUGUCCUUGGGGAAGAUGGUGACGGUACCCUUGGAGGAAGCCCCGGCUAACUCCGUGCCAGCAGCCGCGGUAAUACGGGGGGGGCGAGCGUUGUUCGGAUUUACUGGGCGUAAAGGGCGCGCAGGCGGCGCCGGAAGUCCUGGGUGAAAGCUCCCGGCUCAACCGGGGAAGUGCCUGGAAAACCAUGGGACUGGAGUGCUGGAGAGGCAAGCGGAAUUUCUGGUGUAGCGGUGAAAUGCGUAGAUAUCAGAAGGAACAUCUGAGGCGAAGGCGGCUUGCUGGACAGACACUGACGCUGAGGCGCGAAAGCUAGGGGAGCAAAC
rnacentral:rRNA from 1 species